CCUACGGGUGGCUGCAGUGAGGAAUAUUGGUCAAUGGGCGAGAGCCUGAACCAGCCAAGCCGCGUGAGGGAGUACUGCCCUAUGGGUUGUAAACCUCUUUUGUCGGGGAGCAAAAACCGGACGUGUCCGGCUGUGAGAGUAACCGAAGAAAAAGCAACUGCUAACCCCGGGCCAGCAGCCGCGGUAAAACGGAGGAUGCGAGCGUUAUCCGGUUUUAUUGGGGUUAAAGGGUGCGCAGGCGGGUUUUUAAGUCAGCGGUCAAAUCGUGGGGCUCAACCCCAUCCAGCCGUUGAAACUGGGGAUCUAGAGUGUGCGAGAGGUAUGCGGAAUGCGUGGUGUAGCGGUGAAAUGCAUAGAUAUCGCGCAGAACCCCGAUUGCGAAGGCAGCAUACCGGUGCACAACUGACGCUCAGGCACGAAAGCGUGGGUAUCGAACAGGAUUAGAUACCCCUGUAGUC
rnacentral:rRNA from 1 species